rnacentral:rRNA from 1 species
UACGAAGGGUGCAAGCGUUACUCGGAAUUACUGGGCGUAAAGCGUGCGUAGGUGGUUUGUUAAGUCUGAUGUGAAAGCCCUGGGCUCAACCUGGGAACUGCAUUGGAAACUGGCUUACUAGAGUGCGGUAGAGGGGUGUGGAAUUCCCGGUGUAGCAGUGAAAUGCGUAGAUAUCGGAAGGAACAUCAGUGGCGAAAGCGACUUCCUGGACCAGUACCGACGUUCAGGCACGAAAGCGUGGGGAGCAAACAGG